AGGGGUACUGGGAAGGAUCAUACCGAGUUAGGGUUCCUACGAGCCCAACCUCCCACCCGUGUUUACUGUACCUUAGUUGCUUCGGCGGGCCCGCCAUUCAUGGCCGCCGGGGGCUCUCAGCCCCGGGCCCGCGCCCGCCGGAGACACCACGAACUCUGUCUGAUCUAGUGAAGUCUGAGUUGAUUGUAUCGCAAUCAGUUAAAACUUUCAACAAUGGAUCUCUUGGUUCCGGCAUCGAUGAAGAACGCAGCGAAAUGCGAUAACUAGUGUGAAUUGCAGAAUUCCGUGAAUCAUCGAGUCUUUGAACGCACAUUGCGCCCCCUGGUAUUCCGGGGGGCAUGCCUGUCCGAGCGUCAUUGCUGCCCAUCAAGCACGGCUUGUGUGUUGGGUCGUCGUCCCCUCUCCGGGGGGGACGGGCCCCAAAGGCAGCGGCGGCACCGCGUCCGAUCCUCGAGCGUAUGGGGCUUUGUCACCCGCUCUGUAGGCCCGGCCGGCGCUUGCCGAACGCAAAUCAAUCUUUUCCAGGUUGACCUCGGAUCAGGUAGGGAUACCCGCUGAACUUAAGCAUAUCAAAA
rnacentral:rRNA from 1 species